AGCCGGAUAUUGAUGUUUAAGGUUGAUGGAGUGACGUAAAAGCGGUCCACUCACAAGAUGUCCCGGCCCAGAAUGCCAGAGGCCAGGUGCUGCCGCCGCCCUAGGCGUGCCAAGGAACAGAGGCGAGCAGGCAA